GAUGAACGCUGGCGGCGUGCCUAAUACAUGCAAGUCGAGCGAACAGACGAGGAGCUUACUCCUCUGACGUUAGCGGCGGACGGGUGAGUAACACGUGGAUAACCUACCUAUAAGACUGGGAUAACUUCGGGAAACCGGAGCUAAUACCGGAUAACAUGUUGAACCGCAUGGUUCAACAGUGAAAGACGGUCUUGCUGUCACUUAUAGAUGGAUCCGCGUCGCAUUAGCUAGUUGGUAAGGUAACGGCUUACCAAGGCAACGAUGCGUAGCCGACCUGAGAGGGUGAUAGCCCACACGGGAACUGAAACACGGUCCAGACUCCUGCGAGAGGCAGCAGAAGGGAAUCUUCCGCAAUGGGCGAAAGCCUUACGGAGCAACGCCGCGUGAGUGAAGAAGGUCUUCGGAUCGUAAAACUCUGUUAUUAGGGAAGAACAAAUGUGUAAGUAACUAUGCACGUCGUGACGGUACCUAAUCAGAAAGCCACGGCUAACUACGUG
rnacentral:rRNA from 1 species